rnacentral:rRNA from 1 species
UUGAUACCAGGUGGCAAUUUCAAACUUUCAGGCAAUUUUUAGAAGUUGAAAAUAAACAUAGAUCCGGAAAUUCCUGUAUAAGGCUACCUUUCGAACUGCUAAUGAAUCCAUGAACAGACAAGAGACAACCUGACGAAUUGAAACAUCUUAAUAGCCAGAGAAAAAGAAAACAAAAACGAUUCCUGCAGUAAUGACAAACGAAUGGGAGAAGUCUAAAUA